AUGGCAGACGGGUGAGGACACGUACUUAACCUGACGCGUAAUGGGGGAUAGUCUCUCGAAAGAGGGUUGAAUACCGCAUAGGCUCUUGAGGUGGAAGGCUUCAGGAGGAAAGUAGGACUCUGCGAGCAAGCUGAUAGUCAGGCGAGGGGGGUGCGUCCUAUUAGCUAGCUGGUAGGGUAAUGGCCUACCAGGGCGACGAUGGGUAGCUGGUCUGAGAGGAUGAUCAGUCACACUGGGACUGAGACACGGCCCAAACUCCUACGGGAGGCAGCAGUGGGGAAUUUUGCGCAAUGGGCGAAAGCCUGACGCAGCAACGCCGCGUGAGUGAAGACGCCUUUCGGGGUGUAAAGCUCUGUCAGUGGGGACGAAGGUCUGGUGGUGAACAGUUAUCAGGCGUGACGGUACCUGCGAAGGAAGCCCCGGCUAACUCCGUGCCAGCAGGCGCGGUAAGACGGAGGGGGCGAGCGUAGUUCGGAAUUACUGGGCGUAAAGCGCGCGUAGGCGGGGUGCCAAGUGCGAAGUGAGAGCCCUCGGCUUAACCGGGGACGGGCUUCGCAGACUGGUAGGCUUGAGUGUCGGAGGGGGCGGCGGACUUCCUGGUG
rnacentral:rRNA from 1 species